rnacentral:rRNA from 1 species
GCAGCAGCCGCGGGAAUACAGAGGGUGCGAGCGUUAAUCGGAUUUACUGGGCGUAAAGCGUGCGUAGGCGGCUUCUUAAGUCGGAUGUGAAAUCCCUGAGCUUAACUUAGGAAUUGCAUUCGAUACUGGGAAGCUAGAGUAUGGGAGAGGAUGGUAGAAUUCCAGGUGUAGCGGUGAAAUGCGUAGAGAUCUGGAGGAAUACCGAUGGCGAAGGCAGCCAUCUGGCCUAAUACUGACGCUGAGGUACGAAAGCAUGGGGAGCAAACAGGAUUAGAUACCCCCGUAGUCCCUGUCUCUUAUAC